AUCCAGGUGACGAUUCUCAAAUAGGACGAAACGCGCGUCCUGGAU
rnacentral:hammerhead_ribozyme from 1 species